rnacentral:rRNA from 1 species
GUUAACGCUGGCGGUAGGCCUAACACAUGCAAGUCGAACGGCAGCACAGUAAGAGCUUGCUCUUACGGGUGGCGAGUGGCGGACGGGUGAGGAAUACAUCGGAAUCUACUUUUUCGUGGGGGAUAACGUAGGGAAACUUACGCUAAUACCGCAUACGACCUACGGGUGAAAGCAGGGGAUCUUCGGACCUUGCGCGAUUGAAUGAGCCGAUGUCGGAUUAGCUAGUUGGCGGGGUAAAGGCCCACCAAUGCGACGAUCCGUAGCUGGUCUGAGCGGAUGAUCAGCCACACUGGAACUGAGGCACGGUCCAGAAUCCUACGGGAGGGAGGAGUGGGGAAUAUUGGACAAUGGGCGGAAGCCUGAUCCAGCCAUACCGCGUGGGUGAAGAAGGCCUUCGGGUUGUAAAGCCCUUUUGUUGGGAAAGAAAAGCAGCAGGUUAAUACCCCGCUGUUCUGACGGUACCCAAAGAAUAAGCACCGGCUAACUUCGUG